rnacentral:tRNA from 1 species
GGGUGCGUAGGCUAAUGGUAGACUGGCUGCCUCCAGAGCAGCAUGCGGGGGUUCGAUUCCCUCCGUGCCCA